rnacentral:rRNA from 1 species
CAACAGGGAUUGCCCUAGUAACGGCGAGUGAAGCGGCAACAGCUCAAAUUUGAAAUCUGGCUCUCGGGCCCGAGUUGUAAUUUGUAGAGGAUGCUUUUGGUGCGGUGCCUUCCGAGUUCCCUGGAACGGGACGCCAUAGAGGGUGAGAGCCCCGUCUGGUUGGACGCCAAUCCUCUGUAAAGCUCCUUCGACGAGUCGAGUAGUUUGGGAAUGCUGCUCUAAAUGGGAGGUAUAUGUCUUCUAAAGCUAAAUACCGGCCAGAGACCGAUAGCGCACAAGUAGAGUGAUCGAAAGAUGAAAAGCACUUUGAAAAGAGAGUUAAAAAGUACGUGAAAUUGUUGAAAGGGAAGCGCUUGUGACCAGACUUGGGCCCGGUUAAUCAUCCAGCGUUCUCGCUGGUGCACUUUUCCGGCUCAGGCCAGCAUCAGUUUGCCUCGGGGGACAAAGGCUUCGGGAAUGUGGCUCCUCCGGGAGUGUUAUAGCCCGUUGCGUAAUACCCUGGGGCGGACUGAGGUUCGCGCAUCUGCAUGGAU